rnacentral:rRNA from 1 species
CCUACGGGAUGCAGCAGUGGGGAAUAUUGCACAAUGGGCGGAAGCCUGAACCAGCCAAGUCGCGUGAGGGAAUAAGGCCCUACGGGUCGUAAACCUCUUUUGCCGGGGAGCAAGGGCCGGGACGAGUCCCGGUCCGGAGAGUACCCGGAGAAAAAGCAUCGGCUAACUCCGUGCCAGCAGCCGCGGUAAUACGGAGGAUGCGAGCGUUAUCCGGAUUUAUUGGGUUUAAAGGGUGCGUAGGCGGGCUUUUAAGUCAGCGGUAAAAAUUCGGGGCUCAACCCCGUCCGGCCGUUGAAACUGGGGGCCUUGAGUGGGCGAGAAGAAGGCGGAAUGCGUGGUGUAGCGGUGAAAUGCAUAGAUAUCACGCAGAACCCCGAUUGCGAAGGCAGCCUUCCGGCGCCCUACUGACGCUGAGGCACGAAAGUGCGGGGAUCGAACAGGAUUAGAUACCCCAGUAGU